GCAGCAGCCGCGGGAAAACAGAGGGUGCGAGCGUUAAUCGGAUUUACUGGGCGUAAAGCGUGCGUAGGCGGCUUCUUAAGUCGGAUGUGAAAUCCCUGAGCUUAACUUAGGAAUUGCAUUCGAUACUGGGAAGCUAGAGUAUGGGAGAGGAUGGUAGAAUUCCAGGUGUAGCGGUGAAAUGCGUAGAGAUCUGGAGGAAUACCGAUGGCGAAGGCAGCCAUCUGGCCUAAUACUGACGCUGAGGUACGAAAGCAUGGGGAGCAAACAGGAUUAGAUACCCGCGUAGUCCCUGUCUCUUAUAC
rnacentral:rRNA from 1 species